CUCCAAAUUAUGACACUUAUCAACGUGCUAAUAGCAAGUGGUAUAAAUAAAUCCAUUCAGGAACUCCAAGAACUGAAUUAAAACCCAAAAAUGCAAAAUGUAUGAGAAUGCCAUAUUACAAACUUUAUAGCUUGUCUACAUCACUGUCUGCAAAUCAAGUCUGUAUAUAUAAAUAAAACUAACACUGGAGAAAGUAUCUUGUGUCUUACUUGUAUCAGAAGGAAAAAGUUGAUCACGAAGACCAGCAUUGACCCCCCAGCUGAUAUUGCCUCAAUGAUGAGGCCUUAAUGCGAUGAAAUGAGACACCAUUUUCAAUUUUAGUGUAGCAAGAUAGAGAUAAAGAUAUAGAUCCCAAAUCCGAGAAUUUAAAGUAUAUCAGCACAAUAAUUGUCCCUAGACCAUGCUGGCUGAGUAUAUAGAUAGGCUGCUUGAAAUUAUUAAACUAUAGCCAUGGAGAGACAUUAUGAAUCUGGAUUUUCUUCUUCAUCAGGCUGCCUUGCGUUGCUACUUUGAUGAGAAUGACCAAACCAAGGAUUUACAUUCAAUGAGAGAUUCUUCAUUGGCAGGCUUGUUGCACGAGAACUUGGCAGGAUAUGUUGUGAACCUGAGCUCAACAACUGAACAUGGUUGAUUUCCCUCGACUCAUUCUCCAAGGGGGUGGUUGCAUAAGGAGGAUAUUGCGGGAAGAGUGAUGACAUUGUCGCUGGUGGACAGAAAAAGAAUUGAGAAGCAGAGGAGAAAGGUAAUGAUGAUGAUGAUGGCAAUGAACCAGUAUUGUUGCCGUUGAGGGAACUUUCUGUCUGUGGUAGAAAUCCAUGGGAUGGAAAUUGAUGAGAUAAGGAUAAAUUUGAAGCAUCCCAAUGGUAGUAGGGGUUGAAGGGCAAGGGAUUGUUUGGCAAGCCAGGUAAAGAAGAAUGACUACUACUGGUUAGAGGAAAGAACUUUUGAGCUGAGACUUGUUCAGUAGCAAUGUAAUUGCAAAACCCAUCUUGAUUUUCUUGUUCAUUUGUUUUAAUCCACUUUCCUUUCCCAGCAAUUCUUUCAACUUCGUUACUUCUACCUGAUCUCAAUGAAGCUUCAGCUGCCUCCCAAUACUUAGAUUUUGCCACUGUUUCUUGGUGAUCCUCUCCAUCAAGACUACUAUUGAUAUUUAUCCCUAGGGAGUAAAAUCCCCCAUCUUUAUUGAAUGCCGAGUUCACAUCAAAUAAAUUAGGAACAAGAGAUGAAUUUGGCUCAUGAGAAAGUAGCAUCUGAUGAGGAUGGAAUUGGCCAAAUCCAUGGGGCAUCACGAGAGGUGGAAGCUUAUCAAUAUCAUUUUUAGUGGCAUCAAGCAACCAAUCUAUUACCUUGCUAGGCUGAGUCAGCCCAAGCCUAUCUUGAAGUUCAUAUAACUGAAUGGCUGUGGGUACAGAAAGCCUGAUUCGCCUGUCCCUCAAUCCCUUCACAGUGCAAACCUUGCUAUGCCUAUCUUUUCUUCCAAAAGAUCGCGACACUCGCACAAUUCUUGGAUUCCUAAAUGCUGACCAUUGCCUUGAAGAAGUAGAUGGUACUGCCUUGGCGAGUUUGUUGUCAUAGGCUGCAUCCCCCUCUUGCUUUGCUUGAAAACCUUUUUCUCUUGAACUUCUAGUCGUCAUCUUAUUACAGCUCUCAUUAUUGAGUUUCAAGGUCUAAACUGAACAUCAGGCAGAAAAUUUUAGGCUUCUUGCAACUGAAAGAUUUUGCUUAACUUGGCUGAUCUGAAGGAGGAACAGUAGUUGAAGUAGAAGGCAGAAAAGGCAAUAACAUCAAGAAAGUCCUAAUCAUGUCUACUGUUUUCAAUUUAAAUGACCCUGUAUAGAGAAGGUCUAAAGUUUACAUCAAAUUUAUUUGAAAAGAAUAUCUAUUUAAAGAUAUUCAUAAUUUUGGGAAAGAAAUUUAGUUAUGGAUGCCAGAA
rnacentral:misc_RNA from 1 species